AAUAAUAUUGCUCAAUAUUUCAUGGCUAUGGAUGGUAUAUCUGACUUCUACACAUCUAACACUACACACAUACUCAAUAUCAAGCAUUUUUACUGUAGCAAUUUGGAGAAAUUCAACUAUAAAAGUCCUUAUUUUUACCUCCAAGUGGCACACUUUACCAUAUUUGAGCUACUGUAAAAUGAUAUUGCUCAAUAUUUCAUGGCUAUGGAUGGUAUAUCUGACUUCUACACAUCUAACACUACACAUAUACUCAAUAUCAAGCACUUUUACUGCAGCAAUUUGGAGAAAUGUAAGAACAAAAGUUCAUAUUUGUACCUCCAAGUGGCAUAUUUCACCAUAUUUGAGCUACUGUAAAAUAAUAUUGCUCAAUAUUUCAUGGCUAAGGAUGGUAUAUCUGACUUCUACACAUCUAAGACUACACAUAUACUCAAUAUCAAGCACUUUUACUGCAGCAAUUUGGAGAAAUUCAACAAUAAAGGUCCAUAUGUGUACCUCCAAGUGGCAUAUUUGACCACAUUUGAGCUACUGUAAAAUAAUAUUGCUCAAUAUUUCAUGGCUAUCGAUGAUGUACUUGACUUCUACACAUCGAAGACUACACACACACUCAAUAUCAAGCAUUUUUACUGUAGCAAUUUGGAGAAAUUCAACUAUAAAAGUCCUUAUUUUUACCUCCAAGUGGCACACUUUACCAUAUUUGAGCUACUGUAAAAUAAUAUUGCUCAAUAUUUCAUGGCUAUGGAUGGUGUACUUGACUUCUACACAUCUAAGACUACACACACACUCAAUAUCAAGCAUUUUUACUGUAGCAAUUUGGAGAAAUUCAACUAUAAAAGUCCUUAUUUUUACCUCCAAGUGGCACACUUUACCAUAUUUGAGCUACUGUAAAAUAAUAUUGCUCAAUAUUUCAUGGCUAUGGAUGGUGUACUUGACUUCUACACAUCUUAGACUACACACACACUCAAUAUCAAGCACUUUUACUGCAGCAAUUUGGAGACAUUCAACAAUAAAGGUACUUAUUUUUACCUCCAAGUGGCACAUUUCACCAUAUUUGAGCUACUGUAAAAUAAUAUUGCUCAAUAUUUCAUGGCUAUGGAUGUGUUAGAUGUGUAGAAGUCAGAUAUACCAUCCAUAGCCAUGAAAUAUUGAGCAAUAUUAUUUUACAGUAGUUCAAAUAGGGUGAAAUGUGCCACUUGGAGGUACAAAUAAGGACUUUAUUGUUGAAUUUCUCCAAAUUGCUGCAGUAAAAGUGCUUGAUAUUGAGUGUGUGUGUAGUCGUAGAUGUGCAGAAGUCAGAUAUACCAUCCUUAGCCAUGAAAUAUUGAGCAAUAUGUUUUUACAGUAGCUCAAAUAUGGUGAAAUGUGCCACUUGGAGGUAAAAAUAAGGACUUUUAUUGUUGAAUUUCUCCAAAUUGCUACAGUAAAAAUGCUUGAUAUUGAGUGUGUGUGUAGUCUUAGAUGUGUAGAAGUCAAGUACAUCAUCCAUAGCCAUGAAAUAUUGAGCAAUAUUAUUUUACAGUAGCUCAAAUAUGGUAAAGUGUGCCACUUGGAGGUAAAAAUAAGGACUUUUAUUGUUGAAUUUCUCCAAAUUGCUACAGUAAAAAUGCUUGAUAUUGAGUGUGUGUGUAGUCUUAGACGUGUGGAAGUCAAAUAUAUCAUACAUAGUUAUGAAUUAUAGAGCAAUAUGUUUUUACAGUACCUCAAAUAUGGUCAAAUAUGCAAUCUCUGGAGGCAUAAAUAUGGGAUUUUAUUUUUACAUUUAUCCACACUGGCAGUAAAGAUACUCGAUACGAGGUGUUUUUAUUCAUCAUGGGCGCAUGGAAACUUUAAUGCAACAUAUUUUAUUUUAAAUGUAGGUUCGAAUUAACCUUAAUAUUCUAAUACCUUUAUUUUGAAAACCCGAAGGAAUGCACUGUUUCUUCGCAUUUACCGUAAUGCUGAGAAUAAUCGCACACUUGAAAUUUACGUGCGGCUGGUUUGACCACGGAGAUGUUCGGCUGGCUGACGGUCAGGUAGAGGACCUCCGAAUGGUGUUUGCGGUUCCUCUCAGCAAGUGUUCGUGUUUUUUGUGGUUUUCAUGCUACAGAUAAUGUGUGUUUGUGUAAUAAUAGAUUAAGAUUUAACAUUCAACUGAUCAUAAGUCUGCUUGUUGAGUGAGUGAAUAUAUUUUUAUUCUUUAUUAAUUGGAUCGAAGACUGAUAAAAUGAAGAUUUGUUUGUAUCUGUGUCCAUGUGUGCAGACGCAGAGCAGCAGCCCGAUCCGGGCCAGCAGCACCAGCACACAGAGCAGGAGGACGAGGAGGAGCAUGAGGAUGCUCCGGGCAAUUAAAAAAAAU
ensembl:lncRNA